GACAACAUCAUACUCGAAUGCUGUGGGUACGAUAAGCGGCAUCGUUGCCAGCAUUUUGGAGGUGCUGUUAGCAGUCGCCGCCAUUAUUUUCUACAGACGACAUCGAGCAAAUGGUAAGGCAGCCACUGGAGUGGCUUUUGAGAAUCCAACAUACACUCGAGGUUUAGAACAAGUACAGUUACCAACUGUAACAUCCGCCCUGACGCAUACUAAUGGCAAUGGUAACUUUAGUCGGGC